rnacentral:lncRNA from 11 species
CGACUUGAAAAACUGCAAGUCGCUUUUGGUGUGAGAGAAUUGGCUGUUUGCAAGGACGUUGCCUAGGGGAUGCCUGAUGUUUUACCAUCCUUGUGGGAGGCUUCUCUCCUGUCUCCUCAUGGAUUUGGAGCCAACAGAGGGUGCUCAUCCGUGCCCUUCCUGGGUUGGAUUUGAACCAGCAACCUUCAGGUCAGCAACCCAACCUUCAAGUCAGCAGUCCUGCCAACACAAGGCUUUAACCCAUUGCACCACCAGGGACUCCAACAGUAAAGAUUCAGCAUAAUCUGUGUCCGAAAAAAGACAUAUGAAAUGACUUCCCUUCCUUGCCUUCCCCGUGCAGCUCUUCAGGGGUCGUUGGCGCACUUCCA